UGAGCUAGGCUGACACCACUGCACUCUAGCUGGGGUGACAGAGUGAGACUCUGUCUCAAGAAAAGAAAUGAUGUCCAACCUUCUUUGAUCUAAAUUUGUAUGGAUGUGUCAUUAUACAUGUUCUAGAAACUAUGAAAUUCCUAGAAACUUAUGUUAUCAGUCAUAAUUUUGGUUAUUAUGGCAAAACAUUAUGCCACAGAAAUAAUCAAAUCUCCUUGUCAAUUGUUGGUUAUAAUGGACUCUCAUCAGAUCUUUAACCCUGGGCAUUUUAAGUCUUAGCCACAGUUAAUUGCUCUAUCCUAAUGCUUUUUCUGGAAGUUCUUUGUAAACUAUAACCCUAAAAUCCUGGGUCUUCAAGAAAAUCCAUGGAAAAGAUGCUGACAAAUACAGGUUUCUGGUAACUUUAAGAUCAUAUCACUGGAAGGGGUGAGCAUUUCCAGAGCUCUAAUGAAGAAAUUGAUGCCUUCAUGCAACUGCUAACCAAGAUCAAGCAGAAAAAUAUUAAUUACAUAGGAUGAAGUGAACUGAUGCAGAUAAUUUAUAAUGACUUUUUUAUUUGCAAUGUUGCUGAUUCCCUAAAUGUUUUAUUUUCUAGAUUUAAAGAAAUGUUUUCGCUUAUCCAUCUACAGCUUAUAACAAUUCAGUAAAGUAUACAUUUGUAAAUAAAAAUUGAAACACUUACUUUUUCUCCCUACCUGAUCACUCCAGAAUUUGGAAACUAUUUGUUUUAAAUGUUUGCACACAGCCAUCUGUUAAUGCCAAAUGAUCUCUCUCUGUCUGGACUGACAGAAACCCGAAGAAAUGCAUGAUCCUGAGACGCUGUCACCUGUGAAUAGCGUGCUGAGAUGGGAAACCCAACCUGCUGGCAACUGACAGCAGCACUGAUGUCCUGGGUUCAGGUCACACCCUCAUCAAGGUUAGAGUCUGACCAAAAGGGGGAAAUCGUUAAAUAAAAUUUAUAGGAGGUCAUUGGUUUGGACUGAGCCCCUUCACUUAGGCCCAACCAGCCAAACCAAAAUGGAGCCUCUCAUGCUGAGGUUCCAUGUGCCAAGUGGAAACUAAGUUUAUCUGACCUUCCGUGGAAUCAGGAGAGUGAGAGGUUAAAACUGGUUUUAGCUGGCUUGGAAAGGACGUCCCCUCAGCUUUAACCUAUGCAAGGAAAAUAGUUGGAAAUGACCAACCUGCUUUUUGUGCCAUUCCCCCUUUCCUAGGCCUUCUCUGUGUGUAUAGCCAACCCCCGUGCCCAGCUCACUGCAACACCAUCCUAUGGUAUAGAACGAGGUGUUGCCCAAUUCUAGAAUUGCAAAUAAAAGCCAAUCAAGAUCUUUAAAUUUGUUGUAAUUUUGUCUUUUGACAGCCCUUAGACGUAGAGUGUUUAAAGCUCUGAUCCAAAUAAAGUCAGUCCCCUUGGCAGAGCUGUGGGCACAACCUGGGACCGGGACCGCCGCACCCAGGCUGGGUGUGGCACCUGCUUUUCCUGGAGCCACGCCCUGCUCUGCACGUGAGCACUGGGGGGGUGGCAGCUCUGGUCUUACCCAGAGCCUCCACCCUAUGAGCCAGCUGGGGUGGGGCCACCAGGAUCUAAGUACUGUCACCCUGCCACACCUGCAGUAGAGCUCCUCCUUCCAGGCCGGCCUGUGUGGGGAAGUCCUGCCUGCUGUAGCUCUGGAACAGGGGGGGGGCAGUGUGGAGAAAGGCCAGCAGCAUACCCCUCCCAGGGGGAAAUGGAGACGCAGACCAGGAGGUGGGAGGCGAGGGAGCCCUGUCUUUUCGGCCACCUGCCCUGAGUACAGCACCCCAGGUAAAAUUCCCGCAACACAGAAAUAGUGGGAGGUAGGGGGAGGGCAAGUGUAUGAUUUUUUUUUUCUGACACCAAAUACACGUCACUCUUCACACCAAUUCUCCAAUUCUCUGACACCAACUGGGUGCCCAACAUGCAAAAAUAAGUAAAAUUUUAAAUCUGUUGGAACCCCAAAAACAAUAAGCUGUGAGAGAGAUGUAACUAUGAUCUGAGUCACACAGUGUGUUUUGCAAUUCUGCUUCUUAGAUUACAGUUUAACUCUCUUGCUCAUCGUUCUUGUUCUGUAAGUGACUAGGGAAGACCAGAGACCAGACCUCCCUCCUCCAAUCACUGAUCUUUGUUGUAGAUUAACUGCCUCCUUUCUUGUCCUGUACCUAACGCAGAGGGCGCCCAAGACCCGGGACUGUUGUCUUCAAAUGUGGAAUGUUAAAUAUACCUUUCCCAAAAGAAAAUGACCACCUCGACUGGUUAGAUUAUUGUAACUAUGCAUUAAGUCCUACACAGAAGGAUGUUGAAAUUCUGUUGAAGUUCCCUAAGCUUGUCUACAUAAGCAGCCCCAAACUUCCAUGCUUGGGACACUGACUUCUGCUUCCUGGGCAGGCCUGUCCUCAGCCUUUGCAUUGGAAUAAAUUCUCUUUGAACUAGA